UUCAUAGGUCAUUCCUGAAUUUACGGACUCAGAAGAAGCUGCAACAUGCUCGAAUGGUGAAGCCACAACCUCAGAGCCCUGCACCCCGACGCCCAGGGUCCAUCGACACAAUCAAUGCUCCUGAAACCCAUGAACUCAGCACCCCAAGGGUCCAUUCUCGGGAAAGAGAACACACAUGGAGCACAACCAGCGAAUACCUGAACUUCAUGAGGGUGACCGAGGCCUCAUACCUGGAGACACUUGAGGCCCAGUGUCUUCUUCUUCUUCUUAGACCGUCGUUCUUAACUGACUUGCCUAGUUAAAGGUUAAAGGUCAAAUAAAAAUGUUUAAAUAA